CCCUGCAUCUGGGACAAUGCCCAGCACAUGGUAAAUGGCCAAGAAACAACUGUUGAAUGAGCGAAACCAGAUCCAGGGCCUCCAGGAGAACGUGCGGAAGCUGCCAAAGCUGCCCAGUCUGUCCCCACUUGCCAUCAAAUACCUUUGGAUCCGUACUGCCCUGUUUGAGAAGGUCCUGGACAAAAUUGUGCAUUACACCUUGUGGAGAACAGCAGUAAAUACUAUGAGAAGGAAGCGCUCCUGAUGGACCCUGUGGAUGGCCCCAUCCUUGCGUCUUUGCUGGUGGGGCCCUGCGCCCUGGAGUACACCAAGAUGAAGACUGCGGAUCACUUCUGGACCGACCCCUUGACCGACGAGCUUGUCCAGAGGCACCGCAUUCACAGCUCGCACCUGCGGCAGGACUCACCCACCAAGCG